rnacentral:rRNA from 1 species
AGUGAACGCUGGCGGUAGGCCUAACACAUGCAAGUCGAACGGCAGCACAGUAAGAGCUUGCUCUUACGGGUGGCGAGUGGCGGACGGGUGAGGAAUACAUCGGAAUCUACUUUUUCGUGGGGGAUAACGUAGGGAAACUUACGCUAAUACCGCAUACGACCUACGGGUGAAAGCAGGGGAUCUUCGGACCUUGCGCGAUUGAAUGAGCCGAUGUCGGAUUAGCUAGUUGGCGGGGUAAAGGCCCACCAAGGCGACGAUCCGUAGCUGGUCUGAGAGGAUGAUCAGACACACUGGAACUGAGACACGGUCCAGACUCCUACGGGAGGCAGCAGUGGGGAAUAUUGGACAAUGGGCGCAAGCCUGAUCCAGCCAUACCGCGUGGGUGAAGAAGGCCUUCGGGUUGUAAAGCCCUUUUGUUGGGAAAGAAAAGCAGCAGGUUAAUACCCCGCUGUUCUGACGGUACCCAAAGAAUAAGCACCGGCUAACUUCGU